rnacentral:rRNA from 1 species
GCUUAGAGAGGGGUCAAUGUCCUAUCAGCUAGUUGGUAGGGUAAUGGCCUACCAAGGCUAAGACGGGUAGCCGGCCUGAGAGGGUGGUCGGCCACACUGGGACUGAGACACUGCCCAGACUCCUACGGGAGGCUGCAGUCGAGAAUCUUUCGCAAUGCCCGAAAGGGUGACGAAGCGACGCCGCGUGUGGGAAGAAGGCCUUCGGGUUGUAAACCACUGUCGGGAGUUAAGAAAUGUAAGGGUGUUAAUAGCAUCCUUACUUGACUAAGGCUCCGGAGGAAGCCACGGCUAACUCUGUGCCAGCAGCCGCGGUAAUACAGAGGCGGCAAGCGUUGUUCGGAAUUAUUGGGCGUAAAGAGCACGUAGGCGGCCUUGUAAGUCAGUUGUGAAAGCCUUCUGCUUAACGGAAGAACAGCAUCUGAUACUGCAAGGCUAGAGUACGGAAGGG